UUAAAAAAAUAAUGUGUGUUAUUAAUGAAAAACAAAAAAUCUUUUUCCUCAUCCUGAAAUCAACGAGUUAGAUAAGAGUGUUGGCUCAAAUCGCAGCUUUCGACGCUGCUUGCAACGGUGCUAUCCGAACAUGUGGCAGUGUUGCAAUCGCCACCGGCUUUGCCGCAAGCCCCUUCUCCAUCGCUGCGAGUUCUUCUACAUCCGCCCGCACUCGAUGCAUCUCGGCGCUCACCACGGUAACGGCGGGCACCUCCGCAACCACCUUCAACGAUUUCUUGCGGAUCUCGCACACUUCAUCGUCACGCUCGGCCCUAACCUUGGCAGCCGCUAUGGAGAGAAGACAGAACUCACUGCCUACCGAAUGGAUGACCCUUGCAGCGGCGGCAAGAAAGGGUCUCACAAUAGGGGUCGCAUUUCCUGUGGAGGGUGAUGGACCUGCGGGUUUUGGUUCCGCCUCCCACGUAUUUAAAUUGAAACCCCCUCAGGGUCUUCACCAAGGCGCUCUUGUCGUCCGUCCGAUGGCCCACCACCGGGACCGCUUGGGCGUCGAAGAAGCCAUGCCAUGCAACAGUGAAGAUUCCAGCCUGACCUUCUGCUUGAUUCAGGCAUGGAAUAGUGAAGCUUGCAGCCUUGCACACACACAAAAGAUUCUUUCCUGCAGCACCAUUGACAAUACACUGCUACAUAUCCAAGCUUUUUCAAACCGAAGCAUUAUUAAUAUGGGGCGUGGUCUGUCUUUGCUUAUUGCGUUGUUUCACCGAGAAGCAGGAGACAUCUCGUGCAUGCAGUGAGUCAGGAAGUGAGUCAGGAAGGAAGGGAAACGUUGCUGUAACGGUGAAGAAAAAUCAAAACUCAGGUGAGACUUUUUGAGCAAAGAAAACUUUCAUUGUUCCAUCAUUUACCGUCUUCAAGCAUAUCAAAUGCCAAGAUCAAGGUGUGAUAAUCUAAUACAGUAGUAAAACAGUCCACUGCUUCCAUAUACUAGUUUCUCUACUUUCACAUUUUCCGAUUGCUAAUAAACUUAUUUUUAUGUAUUCUUUCUCUUUUUCUUGUUCAUCAACCAAACAACACCUCACUCUUUGUGCUGCUUAUAGUGGUGCGUUUGACAAAGUCAUAUGUGGUUUUUCUAAGUUUUCAAUUUUAUUGAUCUAUCCAUACAUUAUAACAACUCACCAUCUUCUCUUAAGAAUAAAAUCUUUAUGAUUAAUCGAAAUAUAUCAUCUGAAUGAUGAAACUACUUCUUAGCCUUCACUUAUCAGUGAAAUUGGUCACUAAAUGUGUUCUAGCCCCCUAGUGAUUCUUGCCACACUGAUAUUCAGAAAUUCUGCCCAUGCCAUUCAUGUUAUAAGAUACAAUUGAUGAUAUUGGAAUUAGCUGAGUGGUGAAUACAGAUCAUGAAUAAUGAGAUACGAAAUUUUUUCUAAGUUAAAUUUGU